rnacentral:tRNA from 1 species
GCGCCCGUAGUUCAACUGGACAGAGCAUCUGACUUCGGAUCAGAGGGUUGCAGGUUCGAGUCCUGCCGGGCGCGCCA